CCUAUGGGCGGCAGCAGUGGGGAAUAUUGCGCAAUGGGGGAAACCCUGACGCAGCAACGCCGCGUGAGCGAUGAAGGUUUUCGGAUUGUAAAGCUCUGUCUUUGGGGAAGAUAAUGACGGUACCCAAGGAGGAAGCCCCGGCUAACUACGUGCCAGCAGCCGCGGUAAUACGUAGGGGGCAAGCGUUGUCCGGAUUCACUGGGCGUAAAGAGCACGUAGGCGGUUAUUUAAGUCAGGUGUGAAAGUUUUCGGCUCAACCGGAAAAGUGCACUUGAAACUGGAUAACUUGAGAAUCGGAGAGGUAAGCGGAAUUCCUAGUGUAGCGGUGAAAUGCGUAGAGAUUAGGAAGAACACCGGUGGCGAAGGCGGCUUACUGGACGAUUACUGACGCUGAGGUGCGAAAGCGUGGGGAGCAAACAGGAUUAGAUACCCGAGUAGUC
rnacentral:rRNA from 1 species